rfam:Ornithorhynchus anatinus chromosome 3, whole genome shotgun sequence.
CCGAGAAAGACAAUGAUGCCUGAUUUCCAAGCACAUAUCUGACCUAAUUUGAGGAGAACUCAAGACUGAGUCUUUCGG